rnacentral:rRNA from 1 species
AUUGAACGCUGGCGGCAUGCUUUACACAUGCAAGUCGAACGGCAGCGCGGGCUUCGGCCUGGCGGCGAGUGGCGAACGGGUGAGUAAUGCAUCGGAACGUGCCCAGUCGUGGGGGAUAGCCCGGCGAAAGCCGGAUUAAUACCGCAUCCGACCUGAUGGUGAAAGCGGGGGACCGAAAGGCCUCGCGCUUUUGGAGCGGCCGAUGUCGGAUUAGCUAGUUGGUGGGGUAAAGGCUUACCAAGGCGACGAUCCAUAGCUGGUCUGAGAGGACGACCAGCCACACUGGGACUGAGACACGGCCCAGACUCCUACGGGAGGCAGCAGUGGGGAAUUUUGGACAAUGGGGGCAAGCCUGAUCCAGCCAUGCCGCGUGCGGGAAGAAGGCCUUCGGGUUGUAAACCGCUUUUGUUCGGGAAGAAAUCCUCUGGGCUAAUACCCCGGGGGGAUGACGGUACCGGAAGAAUAAGCACCGGCUAACUACGUG